rnacentral:rRNA from 1 species
GGCCGCGCCAAGGCCGUCUUCAGAGGUUCCGUGAGMGGACCGUUCGGCGUGAGCGCAGCCUCUCCCUACGACGCAUUUGUUUUCCUCCCGAAGGACGCCGCAACCGGUUGGGACRCGGCCUUAAAGUCGAGCGACGGCAGGUGGCCGGUGGCGCGCCUCGUGCGCGUCGUCGGUGUCUAGCCGGCUCCGUCACACGGCACGAGUCCCGACCGUGGUGUCGCGAAGCCCUUCCCUUGGGCUUCACCGCCUCCUCUCGUAAAAAGACGCGCACUGGACGCGGCAGUGGCUCUUCAAGGCGGCGGGCGCACAGACUGACUCUGUGGCCAGCUGCGUGGAGUCCUCGUUGGCCGCGCGAGAUGCGUUGGAGGCCGGCGGUUGGCGGCGAGUAGAUCGGUCACCCAUCCGACCCGUCUUGAAACACGGACCAAGGAGUCUAACAUGUGUGCRAGUCAAUGGGUCUCGAAUAAGCCCAGAGGCGCAAUGAAAGCAAAGGCCGGACUCGACUCCGGCCGAGUUGGGAUCCCGGGGCCGCCGAGCUCCGGGCGCACCAACGACCCGCCCUGUCCSAUUCAUCGGUUGGGCGGAGUCUGAKCAUACACGUUGGGACCCGAAAGAUGGUGACCUAUGCCCGGGCAGGACGAGGCCAGAGGAA